rnacentral:rRNA from 1 species
CCUACGGGUGGCAGCAGUGGGGAAUAUUGCGCAAUGGGCGAAAGCCUGACGCAGCGACGCCGCGUGAGGGAUGAAGGUCUUCGGAUCGUAAACCUCUGUCAGCAGGGAAGCACGGUCACUGUGCUAAUCAGCAGUGAAUUGACGGUACCUGAAAAGGAAGCACCGGCUAACUCCGUCCCAGCAGCCGCGGUAAUACGGAGGGUGCGAGCGUUAAUCGGAAUUUAUGGGAGUAAAGCGCUCGUAGGAGGGAUGACAAGUCAAGGGGGAAAUCGCCGCGAUCAACGUGGGAACUGCCUUUGAAACUGAUGAUCUUGAGUGUGUGAGAGGAUUGUGGAAUUCCAGGUGUAGGAGUGAAAUCCAUAGAUAUCUGGAAGAACAUCGGUUGCGAAGGCGACUAUCUGGCACAUAACUGACGCUGAGGAACGAAAGCGUGGGUAGCGAACAGGAUUAGAUACCCGUGUAGUC